rnacentral:rRNA from 1 species
AUGAACAAGGCUGGCCGCCUGGCCUUCGUCAAAGCUGUCCUGAGCGUGAUCCCCAUCCACCAGUUCCUUGUGCUCGCUGCCAAAAUAGACCCUCAAACUACUAGAAAAAAUCAAGAGAAUUCCUCUGGGCAGGCCGCGCUGAGGCCAAUGGCGGCAACUGCCAUGUUAACUGGUGGCGCGUCUGUUGGCCAAUCCCGCUUGGCGGCCUUGGCGUGCAUGACCUCGAGUACACUGGACUCGCCCUGCGCAUGCGCUGGCUAUGGCUCAGCCACGCCGGCGACGGGAGGGCCUGGAACGGCCUUGACCUGCAGUUCUCCCGCGAGGAACGCGCGUUCUUCUUCGCGUCCACAACAACGACGUUCGGGAAUGGCCUGCGCGCCCUCUUUUGGGAAGACCGAUGGAUUAACGGCCGCGCCGCCAGUGAGGUCGCGGCUCUCCUCUACGCUUGCAUCCCCAAACGACGCCGCAAGUCUAGAACAGUCGCCGACGGCCUACAUGAAAACCAAUGGGCUACCGACAUCCAUGGCACGAUUGGCAUCCCGGAGAUCGUCGAAUACCUCUGCCUUUGGCACCUUGAUCAGCCUAUGCUGGAAGUGGACUGCGAAUGGAAUGUACUCUGCCAAGUCCGCAUACCUCUCCACCUUCCACGACUCCAUCCAUUGCCAGGCUUGGAGGCUAGCUUGGAAGUGUUGGGCGUCGCCACGGGUGCGUUUCUUCCACUAG